GUACUUCACAUUUCCGGGGAAGAACAGCAAAUUGUUUUAAAGACGUAUUUUAAUAUUUCCUGUUCUGCUGUCCUAUAUAUUCUGACGACUGACGAGUAAUGGUGUGUGCACCAACAUCUUUUAAAGGCAGCUGUGAGAAACAGUGAGGAAGCAGCAGCGACAAUGCAACUGUCAGCGUGGUUUCUACUGGUCGUUAUUAUUGCCGUCGGAGUUUGUUCGGCGCUACCAUCCAACUUUCAGGAGAAGGAGAAACAAGACCAUCAGCAGGGACAUGAGCUACUGCGUAGAGCCAGACGUUCACCUGUCCCUGAAGAAGGAAGAAAUCGCGCUAAGAUCGGGAUAUACGAAGACAGCCGCAAGGGCCCGGUGGUGAAGGCGGAAGGGAGUGGAACGGUAUGGCAGAGUAGGGACAAGCGGAUCGAGGCCAAAGUCGGUGUGGAUUAUACGCAGCCAUUGCGUCACGGCCAUGGUGAAGGCUCGGCUUUCUUCAAGGUGCAAGGCACAUUCUGAUUGCAGUUCGUUUUGUGGGGAGAUAGGCAACCUAGUCCCUGUGAUAUGAACUGAGUCAGAGUUACUCCACUGGUGAGGGUUUAUGUUCUAAAUUCAAACAUCUUCCUGCAAAAUGUACUUUAUUUAACGAUAGUCCACUUUUUAUGACAGCUGUAGCUACAGCUUCUGUGAACCUGUUUUCAUCUCAUCGGUCUGUGUCGCUGUUAUUUUGUUAAAGUGUUUUUGUCUUUAUAUUUCCAUAUUGCAUUGUGUACUUGUUCACUUAUUGAUCUUAUUGUGAAUAAAUAUGUUUUAUUUUAAUGUU